UAAAAACAGUUGUAUUACGUUAUAUUUCGAUAAAUAUUUAUUAAUAUUUAAUAAACAACAACAUCAAAGCGUGAACACAGGCGAUAGCAAAGUUAUAAAAUUGUAAACCAUUUAUAAUUACAUAAGUACAAAAGCAAUUAACGGAAAAUAAUUUCUCAAUAAAUUAAACAGUUUGCUAUUGCAAUAACGAGUUUUAUGUGGGAUUUUAUUAUUGAGCGUUACAAUCAACAAAUAACUGGAGCAACGUACAGCGUCAGAGAAAGCGAGAAAGCUUUGCACAUACACAAAAUAACGUAUACUUGAAUUGUGUUUCAAUAUACUUUACCUGCAUACACCAUGAACCAUGAGUGUCGAGUAUUUCAAUUAUUUCAGGUGCCCAACAUUUAUUCCAGUGUACAUGAUAUUAGUAUGAAAGUUAUUUUAUGAUCGUGUUCAUUAUCGUCAGAGUGAAUCGACAAUGUAUAUUUUUUAGUCAAGAUUAAAAAAAAAUGUAUAUAUGUGUUACAUAUUAUCUCUAGCGCAAUAAUUAAUAUUAAAAAAUGUAUGUGUUAUUAUAAAUGAUCGUGAGUAAAAAUUACAGAAAUUUACGGUGGUAAAGUACUAAUUGUACAUAAUAUGUAUGAUUCCACAUAGAAAUAAUUCAUGACGAAUCAAUUUAUAGCGGUUGAAUUAAUAAUAUAAUAAUACAACGCUGAAUACACAAGAUAACAAUUUGUAUGUAUAAUCUAUCCAUAAACUAUUCAAUGCAGCUGAAUUUAUUCACUUAUAAAAUCUAAAUUUAUUGUACUGUACAUUUCAAAUGUAAGAUGUAAUAAAAUUUCGCUGUUUCAAUUU